rnacentral:lncRNA from 12 species
GUUUUAUCUUUUAUUAAUAAAGUUAAGUACUGUGUGAACCUGUUCUCUCAGUUAUGAUUAACCAUAACCAGUCUGUAAGCCGUCUGAAAGCUGGAUAAUAUCUGCUGAUAAAGCCUGUGACCUUGAGCGUCUCGGCCAAUCGCAGCGGCGCACACGUGUGCAUCAGCGUCUCCGUACUUUAUUCUUCAUUCACUGCUGGAGUUUGAGAGGAAGGGAAAGACAUGGACGUCUAACUCUAUGAUUUCUCCAGACGGAUAACAUCUGACCUUCAUCACGGCCUGUGAACAAACUCUCAUCUGGACGAGUGUGAUGGCGGGUCCGCUUGAGCCUCCUCUGCUGCCCCCAUCUGGUGAGGAGGAGGUUUUCUUCAAGAAUUACAUCCCACCUGCUCGAGACGCCAUCCAUCUGCCCAUUCACGUCUUCUACAUCAUCCUCGCCUCCAUCAUCAUAGUGAUGACGCUCUACGCCAUCAUCGGCCACCUCAUCAAAGACCUGAUACACGACUUGGCAGACUAUCUGUUCGGCCAGCAGCCGGAGGAGGUGCGGCUCAAUCUGUGCGAGGCCAAAGACAAAUUCAUGGCCGACUGGUGUCCUGAGACCAGCCCGGAGCUGGAGGAGAUGGCCCGCGCAGAGGAGAUCCGGGUGGUGAUGGAGGGCAACAGAUACACCCCGGCCAUCUGGAUCAUCUCUGACGGGACUGAGCCCAGAGCGCCGCGCACCGGCCCGCGGGUCGUGUUCGGCAAGAACGUCUAGAGCAGGGGAGUCCAGACCUGGAGAGUUUAGCUCAGCUUGCCUGUGGAUGUUUCUAGUCAGUCUGAAGACCUUAAUAUGUAUUCAAAACAAGACGAGGGUAGAGCAGAAAUCAGCUUACAGCCGUCAGACUCACAGACAGAUCUGCAGCACUGACACACUCACUGAUAUUUCAGCACAGAGGACUGAUGCUUUAUGUUCAGCUUAUUACAGUGUGACUGGAGACGCCUGCUGGACUCUGCUGGAACUGCAUCACAAUCAUUUGCACUAAGACCCUUAUUUAGUUUGUCUGUCCUUUCUGAUGGCUGAGCUCAUUCCUUAUGAAAAAAAUAACCUUAUUGAUUAUUAUUUUUACAACCACAGUUAUAAAACAAAUACCAUGGUUGAACCAUAGUGUAGCAAAACCAUGGCUUAUUUGUGGUUAUGGUUUAACUAUAGUAACCAUGGUGUUUUGGUUUUAUUUAUAGAAAAACUAUACUUUAUUUUCGCAAGGGAUUGAGUUGAUGAUUUAUAUCAGGUGUAAUGCAAAAUGCACAGCUUUCUGACUCUCAUCCAUCAUUCUACACGAUUUAAACAACAAAACAUUAAUUCAAAAAGGCCUUUUAUUCAAAUCAGUAUGUAUUUAAGCACACGCAAUAUUGUACAGACACUGCUUGAAGAGAACUGAACCGAGCUGGACGAUGCUAUUAUCACUGAGUCAAUGCUGAACUGACUUUAACCAAAAAAUUCACUGUUUACCACUGAACACUUGCAGUAUCGAUUCAUUAUUUUCCCUGUUUAACACUGACACAACACUAGAGAAAUAAAGGUGACUUGAAAAAAAGUGAGGCUUUCACUCAGAAGACUCUCUUCCAACAUAAAUGUGUUAUCGAUCAGAUAUUAGUGCGUUUAAACUGGUUUGCAAAAUAUUUAAUGGUCUAAAAAAUAUUGUGUUUGGAAUGAAUUUUAAAAUAUUGUGAUUGUGGUGCAAGUGUUUUAGGUUCAGGCACUGAAGAGCCACUGAUUCAUGCUGAUAGUCCGAACUUAAUUAUGAAUGUCUUUUAAAUUCAUUGAAUCGAAUUUGCAGCCAAAUAGGAUGAGGAAUUGUACUUCAAGGCUAAAUUUAACGAAGUAGAAAUAAAAAUUCAAAGAGAUUCAGAUGUACAAACGCAUCUUUCUUCCCAAUAUGAGUUAAAACUGUCAUCAUACAUUAUUUCAAGAAGCAUUACGUGUUAUUCAGCGAUGUAUGUAGUUAACAUAUUUCGUUAUUUAAUAAAUUCACACAUUAAUAUAAAUGUUAAUGCCAUAAAUUAAUAUAAAUGUUUCUAGUUCUACUCACUCAGUUAUUUCGGCGAACAGAAGUUUGUGACCGCGUUCUCCAUAAACCUUACUUUUAUAAAUCCAGACGGUUAAUAAACGUAAACGAGAUUUCUAUUGCGCUCCUAAUUAAAGCAUUGAAAACGUCAUGUUGAUGAGUGCGGAGCGACGCAUGCGCGUUACAGCCGAUGUUCCGAUGUAGUUCUGCUGAUGUAGGUCAGAUGUAGCCUGAAAGAGGCCAGAAGCAGCUUCACACGACCCCGUGAAUGUAGGACAGUCGAACCGAACCGGACCGGGCGCCUUCGGGAUCUUUAGCGGCGGCGUCGCUUCUGUCUGUGAGGAAUAACGGCGCGCUGCUCGAUGGAGCGUCCCGGUGUUCGAUGAUGAACGGGAGCGGAGCGGAGAGCGCGAGCAGGGCUGCGGCCGAGCGGUGAGGAUCUCCGAGAUCGAUCCGGGCUUCAUUUCACAUGAAUCCGCUCAUCAGCGUCACACACACGGGCCUUCACUUCACAGCUGCAUCAGUCUUGUGUUCAUAAUAUUCAUGUUUCUCACGAGGGUUUAGAGGAGAUCAAUGCACGACUGCAGCUGUAUUUAUAUGAAACACGAUCAGCUGAUCAGUCAAGCUACACCGUUCAUCAGAUGUUCACUAGUCCUUCAUCUUCAUCUCAUAAGCAGUGCUGUGAACCUGAUCACACAGGAUCAGUCUCUGUCCUUCUCUCUGCUUUAACAGCUCCAUGUCUUCUCUCAGAUGUCAGAUGAUUCUCUCAGUAUUUGUGACCCAGGAUAUAAAGCAGCUCAGAUCAUUAGAGGAGAAAUGUUUGAGUUCAGAACUUCAGACUGAGAUCUCGUGAUCAGUUUGAGACCCUGAGAUUCGUCUGUUAGAGGAGACAUGUGAGAUUACGCAGGUGUUUUUAUUAAGAGAAAUGUGAGAACAAGGAGCGUCUCCAUUCUGUCAGGUUUAUUUGUGCUGACGGUGGGUUUGAGACGCAUGAUGUGUGUGUGAUGGUCAGUGUGUCGAAGAUGAGGCCCUCAUUUACUCAGAUGUCUCCUAAUUAAAGGACCUGACUCAAUUGUGUGCGUAUUUAUCAUGAUUUUUGGAUUUAUUAUUUAACAGUGGAUUAUUUAAGCCCCUUUCACACUGCACGUUGGACCCGGAAAAUUGCCGGAACAUUGCAGGGUCGCCUUCUGUGUGAACGCAAACACGUUCCGUGAUUGAUCCUGUGUCGGGGACCUAGUAACAUUGCCGGUUUCAGUCCCGGAACGAGCGCUGUGUGAACAAAAGCCAGAACUAAUGCCGUAGUGAUGACGCACGUUAUCGCGCGACUCUUUUAGCGUGUUUUGAAGGCAGAUCAACAUUCGCGACGAAACAAAUAUGUGCAGACUGUAAUGAAGCAGAGAUCGGUUAGUUCCUCACUAAUCCGUGCUGAAGCUGAGAUCGUUCGCCAGCUUAAGUGAAUAGGCUUGUUUGAGAUGAGCAAAUUCUGCGCAGAACCGAUCACCGCGAGAUGCAUGCCGGUUAGAAAAGUGUCCGAGUUACGUCCGCCUUGCUCUGAUGUCAUGCUGACGUGUGCCAAAAAACUCUCGCGACGGCGAGGCGGCUGUGUCGGAUUGAGCAGUCGA